CUACGGGAUGCUGCAGUGGGGAAUAUUGCACAAUGGGGGAAACCCUGAUGCAGCAACGCCGCGUGGAGGAUGACGCAUUUCGGUGUGUAAACUCCUUUUAUAUAGGAAGAUAAUGACGGUACUAUAUGAAUAAGCACCGGCUAACUCCGUGCCAGCAGCCGCGGUAAUACGGAGGGUGCAAGCGUUACUCGGAAUCACUGGGCGUAAAGCGCGCGCAGGCGGCCUUUUAAGUUGGAUGUGAAAGCCUAUGGCUUAACCAUAGAACUGCAUCCAAAACUAUCAGGCUAGAGUCUGGGAGGGGAAGAUGGAAUUAGUUGUGUAGGGGUAAUAUCCGUAGAGAUAACUAGGAAUACCAAAAGCGAAGGCGAUCUUCUGGAACAGUACUGACGCUGAGGCGCGAAAGCGUGGGGAGCAAACAGGAUUAGAUACCCGCGUAGUC
rnacentral:rRNA from 1 species